GAUGAACGCUAGCUACAGGCUUAACACAUGCAAGUCGAGGGGAAACGAUAGAGAAAGCUUGCUUUUUCUAGGCGUCGACCGGCGCACGGGUGAGUAACGCGUAUCCAACCUGCCCACCACUUGGGGAUAACCUUGCGAAAGUAAGACUAAUACCCAAUGAUAUCUCUAGAAGACAUCUGAAAGGGAUUAAAGAUUUAUCGGUGAUGGAUGGGGAUGCGUCUGAUUAGCUUGUUGGCGGGGUAACGGCCCACCAAGGCUACGAUCAGUAGGGGUUCUGAGAGGAAGGUCCCCCACAUUGGGACUGAGACACGGUCCAAACUCCUACGGGAGGCAGCAGUGAGGAAUAUUGGUCAAUGGACGAGAGUCUGAACCAGCCAAGUAGCGUGCAGGAUGACGGCCCUAUGGGUUGUAAACUGCUUUUAUAAGGGAAUAAAGUGAGUCUCGUGAGACUUUUUGCAUGUACCUUAUGAAUAAGGACCGGCUAAUUCUGUGCCAGCCGCCGCCGUAA
rnacentral:rRNA from 1 species